UACGAGUGCCUCAAGCGUUAUCCGGAAUCAUUGGGCGUAAAGGUUGUGUAGGUGGUUGUAUUAGUCUUCUGUUAAAUUCUUCGGCUUAACCGGGGGCAUGCAGGGGAAACGGUACAACUCGAGGAUGCGAGGGGUCUGCGGAACUCAUAGUGUAGCGGUGAAAUGCGUUGAUAUUAUGGGGAACACCAAAAGCGAAGGCAGCAGACUGGAGCACUCCUGACACUGAAACAAGAAAGCGUGGGUCGCGAAUGGG
rnacentral:ncRNA from 2 species